GCGGGGGUGGCCGAGUCCGGACAAAGGCGGCGGACUUAAGAUCCGCUCCAGUAGUGGUUCGAGGGUUCGAAUCCCUUCCCCCGCA
rnacentral:tRNA from 2 species